CACUGUUUUCAACUAUAAUAUUUAUUUAUCUUUCUGUCCACCACUUUGUUUACAAAGAUCAACUCAUUACCGUGGAGACUCAAAUGGUACAAUGUAAAUCACUUAUUGUUUCUAGCUUUAAAAACAACAAUUUAAAUUAAAAAAAUACUUAAUAACAUUCCCUAUAUUGUAAUUGUCAAUGGUAACAUUCUCUCCCAAUUGGUCAGACAGAAGACACGGACAAAGAACCACAAAUUCUGAUUCAUUCACUUAAAACUAAGUAUCAACAAAGAUUAUUCAAGCUAAAGUCAAAAAUACAAGUUCAUAAAGAUCGGUAGUUUCAACUGUAAGUUUGAGUUACAGGUCGAGUCCGACGUGGUGGGCUCCAGUUUAGUUGGGUAGGGUUUAGAGUGGUCUAGUUGAGUCCACUUCUGUGUUACUCCAAUCUGCUGGAUUUCAUUCGGGUUAGUCAAGUCUUGUUAAGUUAAGUUAGGUUUAGUCCAGUCCAGUUGAGUCAAGUCUGGUCUUCUGCUGCUGUGGGACAUGAGACCGGAUCAGUAGAAGACAUUGUCACAGUCAGUUAAGAUUUUCUCCUUCGCUUCCUGCGGUCUCCAUAAAAACAUCGUUCUCUUCCUUUUCCCCCCUCGUUUCUUCAUCUCCGGGGUGGCCUUCAGGCAGCAGCGGCAGGAAGAGCAGGGGGGAUUGAGGGAACGAGGCUGCGAGGAUGAGGAGAGGAAGAGGAGGUGAUUCUGCUUCUGAACUCUCUCUCCCCAUCCAAACCCGAUCAUGGAGAAGUUCUGGCUCUGAGUAAAAAGGCCAUUAAGGUUGUGUGUACCCGGCAGUGUCAUCGGUGACAUCAUUGAUGUAGUCAUUGCUGUGGGCGUCGCCCUUUGGAGGUCAGCAGGAGUCUCAGAAGAAGCAAGUUUGCAAAGUCGCUCAACAGCCGAUUUCCGAGAAGAGGAAUCCCACCGACUCCUUUUCCUCAGCAAAAGGAGCUUGAAGCUCUCGCUCUUGCCUGACCUUUGACCUCUGGGAGCCGCGGUAGGCCUGGAGAGAGGAGGCCGAGGGGCGGUGAGGGAGGAGGAGGGAGUUAGAUGUCGGUUGUCUUCUGAAUCUCGCCUUCCGAACAUCUUCCUCUUGGAUCUGAGACACAAGGGGACGAGAACAUGAGGAGCUAAGGACAAUUCAAAGGAAAGUGAGCCGUGAGGGUACUUCAAAGGUCAAAGGUUAGGGAGGAAGGCAGCUAGGAGACAAGGACACUUUCUCUUUAGUUAGUCGGACUGGAAAAGGAAACAGGAAGCUUCCCUUUGGGAGACCUGGACGCUUGCUGUUUGGGGAAGAAGGUUUGGGGACAAGGAGAAAGGAAACUUCAAUCGUUUCUUAUUGUAAGAGUGAAAUUGUAUUGUCUUCUUGUAGGCACAUAGUUAUGUUAGAUGGAUACAAAUUCUGAACACUAGAUGGCGCUGAAGAAGAAGAAGGUGUGGUAACAAGGGAGAACACACGGUUAUAGAUCUAGUUAAAAUAGAAUCUUUACCUGCAUUACCUGGACAUUCACGCUGUGCCUUCCCACAAUGCACUGCUUCACAGACACAGGGAGAGGAGUCGAGCAGACAUGUGAGAGGAGGCUGAUUGGUCGGUGCCGGUAUGUAGUGUGUUGUGCGUGUAGUGUGUGUCCUACCUGUGGAUGACCUUGAACAGAUCCUCGGUGGUUUGUAUUCGACUGGACUCAAACUUGUGAUCCUCUGGAGAAACAAAGUAUACCAUGUACACCACACACUGCUACUUAU
ensembl:lncRNA